rnacentral:rRNA from 1 species
AGUGGCAGACGGGUGAGUAACGCGUGGGAACGUACCUUUCGCUACGGAAUAGCUCCGGGAAACUGGUGGUAAUACCGUAUACGCCCUCAGGGGGAAAGAUUUAUCGGCGAAAGAUCGGCCCGCGUUGGAUUAGCUAGUUGGUGAGGUAAUGGCUCACAAAGGCGACGAUCCAUAGCUGGUCUGAGAGGAUGAUCAGCCACACUGGGACUGAGACACGGCCCAGACUCCUACGGGAGGCAGCAGUGGGGAAUCUUGCACAAUGGGCGAAAGCCUGAUGCAGCCAUGCCGCGUGAAUGAUGAAGGCCUUAGGGUUGUAAAAUUCUUUCGUCAGGGAUGAUAAUGACCGUACCUGAAGAAGAAGCCCCGGCUAACUUCGUGCCAGCAGCCGCGGUAAUACGAAGGGGGCUAGCGUUGUUCGGAAUUACUGGGCGUAAAGCGCACGUAGGCGGACUUUUAAGUCAGGUGUGAAAUCCCGGGGCUCAACCUCGGAACUGCAUUUGAAACUGGAAGUCUUGAGACCAGGAGAGGUUAGCGGAAUACCGAGUGUAGAGGUGAAAUUCGUAGAUAUUCGGUGGAACACCAGUGGCGAAGGCGGCUAACUGGACUGGUACUGACGCUGAGGUGCGAAAGUGUGGGGAGCAAACAGGAUUAGAUACCCUGGUAGUCCACGCCGUAAACUAUGGAAGCUAGCCGUUGGGA